rnacentral:rRNA from 1 species
AUUGAACGCUGGCGGCAAGCUUAACACAUGCAAGUCGAGCGGAGAUGAGGUGCUUGCACCUUAUCUUAGCGGCGGACGGGUGAGUAAUGCUUAGGAAUCUGCCUAUUAGUGGGGGACAACAUUCCGAAAGGAAUGCUAAUACCGCAUACGCCCUACGGGGGAAAGCAGGGGAUCUUCGGACCUUGCGCUAAUAGAUGAGCCUAAGUCGGAUUAGCUAGUUGGUGGGGUAAAGGCCUACCAAGGCGACGAUCUGUAGCGGGUCUGAGAGGAUGAUCCGCCACACUGGGACUGAGACACGGCCCAGACUCCUACGGGAGGCAGCAGUGGGGAAUAUUGGACAAUGGGGGGAACCCUGAUCCAGCCAUGCCGCGUGUGUGAAGAAGGCCUUAUGGUUGUAAAGCACUUUAAGCGAGGAGGAGGCUACUGAGACUAAUACUCUUGGAUAGUGGACGUUACUCGCAGAAUAAGCACCGGCUAACUCUGUGCCAGCCGCCGCGGUAAAAC